rnacentral:rRNA from 1 species
AGACUUUGAUCCUGGCUCAGAUUGAACGCUGGCGGAAUGCUUUACACAUGCAAGUCGAACGGCAGCACGGGAGCUUGCUCCUGGUGGCGAGUGGCGAACGGGUGAGUAAUGCGUCGGAACGUACCGAGUAAUGGGGGAUAACGCACCGAAAGGUGUGCUAAUACCGCAUACGCCCUGAGGGGGAAAGUGGGGGACCGCAAGGCCUCACGUUAUUCGAGCGGCCGACGUCUGAUUAGCUAGUUGGUGGGGUAAAGGCCUACCAAGGCGACGAUCAGUAGCGGGUCUGAGAGGAUGAUCCGCCACACUGGGACUGAGACACGGCCCAGACUCCUACGGGAGGCAGCAGUGGGGAAUUUUGGACAAUGGGCGAAAGCCUGAUCCAGCCAUUCCGCGUGAGUGAAGAAGGCCUUCGGGUUGUAAAGCUCUUUCAGCUGGAAAGAAACGCUCCGGACGAAUAUCCCGGGGUAAUGACGGUACCAGCAGAAGAAGCACCGGCUAACUACGUGCCAGCAGCCGCGGUAAUACGUAGGGUGCGAGCGUUAAUCGGAAUUACUGGGCGUAAAGCGUGCG